AGUUUCAGUUUGAAAUUUGACGCCGACCGCGGCGGAACGUUGAGCGUUCUGCUCCCAGAGAAACCAGCGGCCAUCGCCCGCCGCUGCUUCUGCUGGCGUCGCAGCGGCAGAGCAGCCAUUAUCCUGCAGGAGGCUGCGACCUGAUCCCUGGGCCAUCAUCUAUUAAUCUGUCUGCGAAUUAAACGAAAAACUGGCCAACUGGCCAACGAACCCAAAAACACUCUAAAAACUCGGUGCAAAAGUGUUGAAAAAUCAAAGAAAUUGCAAUUCUCAAAUCGAAUUCAUUGAAAAACUUCGAAACUUGUUAAGUAAAAUGGAUUUAAGGCUGAGCUCUACCUUCUCAUUCCCAGCAGGACACACGAACUACAUCGGAGCAUCUGUCGGAGCAGCACCUCUCACUCUCUUCUUCCGCCCAUUACUCAGCAGUCUUCAAAGGGCUUACUGCUGAAUCAUCGCCACCAUCAUCAUCGUUACCGAUUUACCAAUUCACCGAUUUGGAGCAGGAACGAGACGGCUUAAGGAAGUGGCGCCCAAGACAGGGAACCUCGACUGGCGGCUGGCGACUGGCGACAGCGAUCCAGGUCGAGAGCUUAGCGAGGCGACUCACUGAUUGAUUUCAGUGCAAACAGAAGACAACGAAGUUAACACCCCCGCCCAUGGGCAGAUCUAUCUAUCAUUCAUUAAAUGUGUUUCUUGUCUAUCCAAUUUCCAGGCCUCGCACCCAUUUUAUCGACGUGAAGAAAGUGCCGUAAUCCGCGGGCAAUCAAUUAGAUACAAGCUCACUAAGCACUCCCAAAGACAUCGCAGCCGUAUCUUAUCUUAUCGCCGCUUCUUCCGAUAAGGUCGGGCCUUACUUUCCGCACUCUGCGUUUUUUCGGACUACUGCCUAAUCUCGGGCCACUCGGUGAGGUCUUGGCUUCAGUUUGGUUUCCAGAGGCGAGGGCGAAGACAACACGGAGCUGGCUUCUGCGCUGGCAAAGGAAGGGCUUCCGUGACUUUGCACGGACUCGGGCACGGAUAUGGACACGGAGACCUCGCGAAUGCCUCGAAUUAAUUGGCAGGCCACGGCGAGCUUUGUAAUCACAUUUAUGGGUCAUUCCAUAAUUUCGAAGGAAUAGAGGAACCCGUUGUAUAGCCGCCAGCCAUCGUCGCAUCACGUGUGGCACGAUAAAUAUAAUUUUCCCGAGGCGCAUGUAAUUGCCGCUCCGCCUAAAUUACCCCGCCUUGUACACACACAUUGUAUAUGUUUAUUAACAAUUUCACUUUUUUGCAGCAGUGAUUGCUCACCUGAGCUCAUUCAGCCGCCUGCGACUGUUAGGUCUCCUUCAGUUUGCUCCACGUCUACCCUGUAGAUCCGAAUUUGUUUUACUCUAGCUUUAAGGACAAAUUCGGUUCUAGAGAGGUUUGUGUGGUUCAAUGUUCAUCGAUAGCCGAAUACGGAAGUGAAAUCAAAAAUAAGUGAAAAAGUGAAUUAUGUAUAUUAGAGCUCAUUCGCUUGCUUGACUUGAAUUUGAGUUUGUGUAUAAGAUAAGAUUUCGCUGUCCUAGUAAAGUACUCAAAGAUGAAUUUCUGCAUAGUUUCAACUUGCAGCUACUCUUCUUUUUUAAAUUAAGGAAAUUAAAACUUGUAUGAAAUGUUAACAGAGUGGAACCUAUUUAGGGAUGACUCACUGUACAAAAAUCUAAUUACUGUUGCCAAGUAAUACGUUUCCACUGCUUACCAUAAAAGCCAUGAUAAUGAAUUGCUGUCUUGACACAAUUUUCUUUGGCUUACAUUUAUAGAUAAGAGCACUGGGCCUUAAAGUUUCACUUUUCAAUGCCAAUGAUUCAAAGGCAAAAGAUUGUUAAGCAUUAUUAGUUAUUUUUAAUAAUCUAAGAAUUUUGAUAGCUUAAAAUUGUAAAAAACGAGAAAAACAAAUUUCUUACUUCCAUUCUUUAGUAAGUAGGAAGGCGUGUUUAUUAAGCUAAAUAUAAGAUAAAAUUGUAAAGUGUGCUCUAUGAUUAAUUUUUAGUUCAGUGUAGCUGUAAGUAUCUUCUGAAUUAAGGAACCUAGUCUGUCUCAAGAAUGCGUACACUGUCUUCUUGUUUGUUUUUACUUUAAAGUAAAGAGCUUGUAACAUCAGAAAAAUGUAAUAAAAUGUUUUACCUUUUUAAACCCCUA